ACGUUGGAUCAUAAGCGUAUUGGAUUGAUUUAUAUGAUUUUGGGUGUGUGGGGCGGAUUUUUGGGUUUAUCGUUAAGGUUACUUAUCCGAUUGAAUUUGUGCGAUCCUUACUAUAAAUUGAUUUCUACGGAGGUUUAUAAUUUUGUGAUUACUAAUCAUGGGAUCGCUAUGAUAUUUUUCUUUUUGAUGCCGGUGUUAAUAGGGGGGUUUGGUAAUUACUUGCUUCCUUUGCUUUUAGGUUUGGUUGAUUUAAAAUUGCCUCGGUUGAAAGCUCUGAGUGCGUGGUUAAUGCUGCCCUCGAUAGUUUGUUUGAGGCUGAGAAUGUAUCAUGGGGCGGGGAUAGGUUGAACUUUUUAUCCUCCGCUGUCAGGAUUUGGUUAUUCUGGUGUUGGUACUGAUUUUUUGAUGUUUGCUUUGCAUUUAGCAGGUGUUUCUAGGUUGUUGGGUUCGAUAAAAUUUAUUUGUACCAUAAUGGGGCGUAUGGAUCAAUGAUUUAGAAUGCGAAUGUCAGUUGUAGUUUGAGCUUAUUUAUUUACUUCAAUUUUAUUGGUGUUGUCGCUUCCUGUUUUGGCAGCAGCUAUAACUAUGUUAUUGUUUGAUCGUAAAUUUAGGGCUGCUUUUUUUGAUCCCAU
rnacentral:rRNA from 1 species